rnacentral:lncRNA from 1 species
GUUUAUGAUCUUCUCGUUCUAACUCCUUAGUGUUUGAUUAUAUUGCCAUUUCAAGUAAACUGUUUUGCUUUUUUUUUUUGUUUUAUUCCUCGCCGAUGACUUAUCUUCCAUAGAAAUUGUUGUUUGCUUUAACUUAAUGUGAAACAUAGCUUGUUCUUGAAUGUCAUUACGUAUUGUAUUAUUAGACUACACUAUUAUGUUAAUUACUGUACAGUCCCAAUGUAGGAACAUUGAUGUCAUUUUUAUAAAUGGAAAGAAUAUUUAUGUUAUUGUUGCCCAUGGAUUUGUUAGAGUUAAUGCUUAUGCGUCUUUAAUUUGGUGAUUGUUGUGUCUUGGGGCAUAUUCUGCUAAUCAAAUGCCUUUUGGGUCUUUUGCCUCUAAGACACAGUGGUGGUGAUGAGCCUCUAACAUAUAAGAGGAAUCCUUUUUCAGGGUUUCUUCAAUGAAAUAUGCAUGUUACGCUUGGCUUCUGAGCUUCAAUCAUUCGUGAAUUCAUCCUUGAAUUUAUUCUUCUGAGAAUUUGAUUCUGUUGCCACUCCAAAUAUGUUUCUUCUUGUCUGCUUUAUUUUCAAUUAAUUGUUAUUCGUUAAGUACCAACCCUGGUGUCAUUUUCAUAAAUGAAAACUUGAGUUAUAUUAUUGUUGUUCGUUGAUUUGUAGAAGAUACCUUGUGCAUGUGGUGAUUGUUGUGUAUUUGUUUGGGCAUUUUGUUCCAAACAAAUGCCUUUUGGGACUUUUGUCUCCAAGACACAGUGGUGGUGAUGAGCCUCUAACAUAUAAGAAGAAUCCUUUUUCAGGGUUUCUUCAAUGAAAUAUACAUGUUACGCUUGGCUUCUGAGCCUCAAUCAUUCAUGUGUACCAUGAGUUUAUUCUUCUGAUAAUUUGAUUCUGUUGUUACUUCAAAUAUAUGUUUCUUCUUGUCUGCUUUAUUUUCAAUUAAUUGUUAUUCGUUAAGUUCCAACCCUGGUGUCAUUUUCAUAAAUGAAAACUAGAGGUAUGUUAUUGUUCUUUGAUUUGUAGAAGAUACCUUGUGCAUGUGGUGAUUGUUGUGUAUUGGUUUGGGCAUACUGUGCUAAGCAAAUGCCUUUUGGGUCUUUUGCCUCCAAGACACAGUGGUGGUGAUGAGCCUCUAACAUAUAAGAAGAAUCCUUUUUCAGGGUUUCUUCAAUGAAAUAUGCAUGUUACGCUUGGCUUCUGAACUUCAAUCAUUCAGGAAUUCUUCCAAGAAUUUAUUCUUUUGAGAAAUUUGAUUCCAUUGCUACUUCAAAUAUAUGUUUCUUCUUUUUUGCUUUAUUUUCAAUUAAUUGUUAUUUG